GACGAACGCUGGCGGCGUGCCUAAUACAUGCAAGUAGGACGCACAGUUUAUACCGUAGCUUGCUACACCAUAGACUGUGAGUUGCGAACGGGUGAGUAACGCGUAGGUAACCUACCUAUUAGAGGGGGAUAACUAUUGGAAACGAUAGCUAAUACCGCAUAACAGUAUGUAACACAUGUUAGAUGCUUGAAAGAUGCAAUUGCAUCGCUAGUAGAUGGACCUGCGUUGUAUUAGCUAGUAGGUAGGGUAAAGGCCUACCUAGGCAACGAUACAUAGCCGACCUGAGAGGGUGAUCGGCCACACUGGGACUGAGACACGGCCCAGACCCCUACGGGAGGCAGCAGUAGGGAAUCUUCGGCAAUGGGGGGAACCCUGACCGAGCAACGCCGCGUGAGUGAAGAAGGUUUUCGGAUCGUAAAGCUCUGUUGUUAAGGAAGAACGAGUGUGAGAAUGGAAAGUUCAUGCUGUGACG
rnacentral:rRNA from 1 species